rnacentral:rRNA from 1 species
UACAGAGGGUGCGAGCGUUAAUCGGAAUUACUGGGCGUAAAGCGUGCGUAGACGGCUAUCUAAGUCGGGUGUGAAAGCCCCGGGCUCAACCUGGGAAUUGCAUUCGAGACUGAAUAGCUAGGGUACGGUAGAGGGAAGCGGAAUUUCCGGUGUAGCGGUGAAAUGCGUAGAUAUCGGAAGGAACAUCAGUGGCGAAGGCGGCUCGCUGGACCGGUCCUGACGCUCAGGCGCGAAAGCGUGGGGAGCGAUCCGG